GGUGAGUUGUCGCUUCAAUCAGCGUGGGUGUGUGGGCGUCUCCACCCGUCUCCCGACAACGGGAAUAGAAGUUUGGAGCCUGACGAGCUUUGGGCUCCUUCAUUCUCAGCAUGUGUUUGUUCCUGAGCUUCCCACCACAGCGAGGAUGCUCCAUUCAGACAUUCCGGCGUCAUUUGGUUCUAGUCCUUUAAAGUCCAACACGCACGCUUUGCCUGAAAUUCACACACAAGACCCCAAUCUGAAGGAGCGCUGUCAAAGCGAGGCGCUCGGAGGACGAGCAGAUCAACAAAGUCCUCAGGAUUCAGCCUCCGUCACAGAGUCCCUCGGAUGUUUGGGUCUCGACCAAACUGGUGGAGUGACAUUAAAACAUGGAAUAACA